AAUUAGCCUCAGAGGUUUAAGACUUGCUUGCAAGUGUGCCUUCUGUUUAUAGGUUAAGCUAGCUAUUUUAAUUCUAUUAUUUGUGAGUUCUCCAUAGAUGUAAAGUAUGACGUAAUUCAUGUGCCAGGCCACAUUGGAGAUAGUCAGCUGCCAUCGAGCCAGAGUUCCGCAGGCCCUCAGCCAGAGCUCCUCACCAGGGACCCUGCUAAACAGGCAAAUCCGCAUUCUAACACUGAGCAAAGAUUCCUUUCUGAAGGUUGGGGAGUCUGGCAUGCACCAAUCAAAGGCCUUUCUUUAUUGACCACAACACCCAAGACUGCCACCUGGGUAGCUUCCUUCCAUACUCCUCACUUUAAAUUUAUAGCAGCAAUUGCUUCUCAAUGUAGUCACAUGUGCUGGUAUAAUCUGCCUUUCUUUCUUUCUUUUUUUUUUUUUAAGAUUUAUUUAUUUAUUAUAUGUAAGUACACUGUAGCUGUCUUCAGAUACUCCAGAAGAGGGAGUCAGAUCUCAUUAUGGAUGGUUGUGAGAUGGUUGUGAGCCACCAUGUGGUUGCUGGGAUUUGAACUCCAGACCUUCGGAAGAGCAGUCGGGUGAUCUUACCCACUGAGCCACCUCACCAGCCCGUAAUCUGCCUUUCAUAAGAAUGAAUUACAAGUAAAAAUCUUGGGGUUUAGAUUUUGUUUUGGUUUUUUUUGGUUAUUUGAGGUAAGGUCUUAUGUAGCUCAGACUGUUCUAGAACUUGCUGUAUAACUGAAGCUGAACUUGAAUUCCUGAUUUGCCUGCUUCCACCUCCUAGGUACCACACAGAGGCCCUGUUUCUGUGGUGCUAGGAUUUAUUUUUAUUUUAUAUACAUUGGUGUUUUGCCUGCGUGUAUGUAUAUCUGUUUGAAGAUGUCAGAUCACGUGGAGGUGGAUUACAGAUUGAACUUGCAUCCUCUGGCCGAGCAGCGCCAAUCUUAACCACUGAGCCAUCUCUCUAGCCCUGGAAGCCAGGGCUUUAUGCAUGCUAGGCAAGUGCUUUCCAAUUGAGCCACCUCUCCAGCUCUAGGGAAUCUUAAUAUUAUUUUAUUCAAGGUACAUUUAUGCUUCUUUUGACUUAGAUUAGAUUUUAUGAAGGUGUUCCAUUUUCUAGUUUUUGGUUCACUCGUCUUAAAAACUUAGGAAGACUUUUAGUAAUAAUUUUCUACCUCUAUAUGAGACUUACUAUUUUCAGAGAACUUUCAAGUUUCUAUCUCAUUUAUUAAUACUCCCAGAAAGACUCUGUGAAGCUAAGAUGAACAGAUAUUUAUUGCUAUUAUUGUUGUUUUCAGAAUUUAUUUACAUUAUUUUGCAUGUAUGACUACCUACAUAUGUGUCCAUGGAGGCCAGAAGAGGUGUCAACACUUAAGACUUAAGAACUAUUUUAAGGGGCUGGUGAGAUGGCUUAGGGGUUAAGAGCGCCGACUGCUCUUCCAAAGGUCCUGAGUUCAAAUCCCAGCAACCACAUGGUGGCUCACAACCAUCUGUAAGGAAAUCAGAUGCCUCUUCUGGAGUGUCUGAAGACAGCAACAGUGUACUUACAUAUAGUAGAUAAAUAUUAAAAAACAAACAAACAAACAAACAAACAAAAAAAGAACUAUUUUAAAAGCUAUUUCAAAGGUUUGAAUAGCUAAAACAAAUCUAAAAGAGUUUAAUAACUUAGUAUAAUAAUAUUAAGGUAAUUAUACUUUAACUAAUCCACAUAAACUGAACUUGGUUCUCUUUUUUUAAGAUUCAAAUAGAUCUUAGUAACCUUUUUUAGUCUACCCUUCUUUCAAAGAAAGAAAAUCAAUAUUCAGAUAGGACCACAAUAUGUGAUUCUGCUUGUUUAUUCAUUCAUUUGUUUGAUCACACCCAUGCAGUUAUUUAUCCUGUAUGUGCACAUGCAUGUGCACAGCAUCUGUGUGGAGAUCAGGGGACAGUUAACUUGUAGGGGCCUGUUCUAUACUUCUGUUCUGUCAUGUGAGUCCCAGGUAUCACACUCAGAUUAUCAGACCUGGUAGUAAGCAUUUAGCCCCCUGAGCCACCUCACCAGCCCAGAUGUGGUCCAGUCUAAUGCCACCAUCUUAUACCAGUUUCUGUGCAGAGAAAAACUUGAUGUAGUUUGGGUUCCAAUGGACUGGGCAGAAUGUUCUCAGAGGCUUCGCAGUCGGCUGAAAUGGGUCUCAGUGGAAGACAUCACUCCUGAGCCCACUGGGGAGUGGCGUUCUCACCCAUCAGUAGGACCUCCCAGCAGUAUCUUCCAGAAGUAGAAAUAAGUCACAAGGAAAGGAAUUAAAGAUGAAGUACAGUGAGGUGGCACAGCCCCUAGCCCUACCACUCAAGAGGCUGUGCGGUAGGAACACGGGAACUCCAGCGCCAGUCUGGGCUGUGAGCUCUUGUCUCAAAAAGCCAAACCAUCGGUGUAAAUGAAGUAUAAAAGAGAAUUUUAUUUAUUUCAUUAUUUUUUCAUUUUCAUGUGUGUGUGUGUGUGUGUGUGUGUGUGUGUGUGCUACACAUGUACAUUGCCUGCCAUCCAAGGCUAGAAUUAGAGUGGACCAUGGUGCCUGCCUGGUGUUUGCUUAUUCUUAGAAUCCAGGCUUCUGUCCUCACUGUUGCAUGGCAAAUGCUUUAACUACUGAGCUGCUUCUACAGCUCCAAAGAGUAUUUUAAAAUCUAUUGGCAUUACAAAGCAACUGUAGCACAAUGACUGGCAUUAUUUUAAAAUGUGUAUGUCGUUUUAUUUAUGACU
rnacentral:lncRNA from 1 species